GAUGAAGAACGUAGCGAAAUGCGAUAAGUAAUGUGAAUUGCAGAAUUCAGUGAAUCAUCGAAUCUUUGAACGCACCUUGCGCCUUUUGGUAUUCCGAAAGGCACACCUGUUUGAGCGUCAUGAAUACCUCAAUCGCCAUCUUUUCUUCGGAUUGAUGGGUGACUUGGAUGUUGAGCCCUGCUGGUAUGCUAUAUCAGCUGGCUUUAAACUUAUUAGCCGGCUCUGUACUGGAACGGUUUGACUCGACGUGAUAAUAUUAUCGUUGAGGAUGCAUGUCUCAUGCAGCCGGAAAGUAUCAAAGCAGCUUCUAGCUUGCCUUUAGUGCACUUUUACAUUUUAGACCUCAGAUCAGGUGGGACUACCCGCUGAACUUAAGCAUAUCAAUAAGCGGAGGA
rnacentral:misc_RNA from 1 species